AGUGAACGCUGGCGGUAGGCCUAACACAUGCAAGUCGAACGGCAGCACAGUAAGAGCUUGCUCUUACGGGUGGCGAGUGGCGGACGGGUGAGGAAUAAAUCGGAAUCUACUUUUUCGUGGGGGAUAACGUAGGGAAACUUACGCUAAUACCGCAUACGACCUACGUGUGAAAGCAGGGGAUCUUCGGACCUUGCGCGAUUGAAUGAGCCGAUGUCGGAUUAGCUAGUUGGCGGGGUAAAGGCCCACCAAGGCGACGAUCCGUAGCUGGUCUGAGAGGAUGAUCAGCCACACUGGAACUGAGACACGGUCCAGACUCCUACGGGAGGCAGCAGUGGGGAAUAUUGGACAAUGGGCGCAAGCCUGAUCCAGCCAGACCGCGUGGGUGAAGAAGGCCUUCGGGUUGUAAAGCCCUUUUGUUGGGAAAGAAAGGCAGCAGGUUAAUACCCCGCUGUUCUGACGGUACCCAAAGAAUAAGCACCGGCUAACUUCGUG
rnacentral:rRNA from 1 species